rnacentral:rRNA from 1 species
CCUACGGGGGGCUGCAGUGGGGAAUAUUGGACAAUGGGGGCAACCCUGAUCCAGCCAUGCCGCGUGUGUGAAGAAGGCCCUCGGGUUGUAAAGCACUUUCAGUGAGGAAGAACGCCUGGUGGUUAAUACCCAUCAGGAAAGACAUCACUCACAGAAGAAGCACCGGCUAACUCCGUGCCAGCAGCCGCGGUAAUACGGAGGGUGCGAGCGUUAAUCGGAAUUACUGGGCGUAAAGCGCGCGUAGGUGGCUUGAUAAGCCGGUUGUGAAAGCCCCGGGCUCAACCUGGGAACGGCAUCCGGAACUGUCAAGCUAGAGUGCAGGAGAGGUAGGUAGAAUUCCCGGUGUAGCGGUGAAAUGCGUAGAGAUCGGGAGGAAUACCAGUGGCGAAGGCGGCCUUCUGGACUGACACUGACACUGAGGUGCGAAAGCGUGGGUAGCAAACAGGAUUAGAUACCCUGGUAGUC